AUUAAACGCUGGCGGCAUGCCUUACACAUGCAAGUCGAACGGCAGCGCGGGAGCUUGCUCCUGGUGGCGAGUGGCGGACGGGUGAGUAAUACAUCGGAACGUGCCCUGGAGUGGGGGAUAACGCAGCGAAAGCUACGCUAAUACCGCAUAUUCUGUGAGCAGGAAAGCAGGGGAUCGCAAGACCUUGCGCUCUAGGAGCGGCCGAUGUCGGAUUAGCUAGUUGGUGGGGUAAAGGCCCACCAAGGCGACGAUCCGUAGCGGGUCUGAGAGGAUGAUCCGCCACACUGGGACUGAGACACGGCCCAGACUCCUACGGGAGGCAGCAGUGGGGAAUUUUGGACAAUGGGCGGAAGCCUGAUCCAGCCAUGCCGCGUGAGUGAAGAAGGCCUCGG
rnacentral:rRNA from 1 species